rnacentral:rRNA from 1 species
AUUGAACGCUGGCGGCAGGCCUAACACAUGCAAGUCGUGCGCGAAAGUUCUUCGGAAUGAGUAAAGCGGCGGACGGGUGAGUAAUACAUGGGAAUCUGCCUGGUAGUGGGGGACAACGUUUCGAAAGGAACGCUAAUACCGCAUACGCCCUACGGGGGAAAGGGGGGAUCGCAAGACCUCUCGCUAUCAGAUGAGCCCAU